AAAUUGAAGAGUUUGAUCAUGGCUCAGAUUGAACGCUGGCGGCAGGCCUAACACAUGCAAGUCGAACGGUAACAGGAAGCAGCUUGCUGCUUUGCUGACGAGUGGCGGACGGGUGAGUAAUGUCUGGGAAACUGCCUGAUGGAGGGGGAUAACUACUGGAAACGGUGGCUAAUACCGCAUAACGUCGCAAGACCAAAGAGGGGGACCUUCGGGCCUCUUGCCAUCAGAUGUGCCCAGAUGGGAUUAGCUAGUUGGUGAGGUAACGGCUCACCAAGGCGACGAUCCCUAGCUGGUCUGAGAGGAUGACCAGCCACACUGGAACUGAGACACGGUCCAGACUCCUACGGGAGGCAGCAGUGGGGAAUAUUGCACAAUGGGCGCAAGCCUGAUGCAGCCAUGCCGCGUGUAUGAAGAAGGCCUUAGGGUUGUAAAGUACUUUCAGCGGGGAGGAAGGUGUUGUGGUUAAUAACCGCAGCAAUUGACGUUACCCGCAGAAGAAGCACCGGCUAACUCCGUGCCAGCAGCCGCGGUAAUACGGAGGGUGCAAGCGUUAAUCGGAAUUACUGGGCGUAAAGCGCACGCAGGCGGUCUGUCAAGUCGGAUGUGAAAUCCCCGGGCUCAACCUGGGAACUGCAUUCGAAACUGGCAGGCUUGAGUCUUGUAGAGGGGGGUAGAAUUCCAGGUGUAGCGGUGAAAUGCGUAGAGAUCUGGAGGAAUACCGGUGGCGAAGGCGGCCCCCUGGACAAAGACUGACGCUCAGGUGCGAAAGCGUGGGGAGCAAACAGGAUUAGAUACCCUGGUAGUCCACGCCGUAAACGAUGUCUACUUGGAGGUUGUGCCCUUGAGGCGUGGCUUCCGGAGCUAACGCGUUAAGUAGACCGCCUGGGGAGUACGGCCGCAAGGUUAAAACUCAAAUGAAUUGACGGGGGCCCGCACAAGCGGUGGAGCAUGUGGUUUAAUUCGAUGCAACGCGAAGAACCUUACCUGGUCUUGACAUCCACAGAACUUUCCAGAGAUGGAUUGGUGCCUUCGGGAACUGUGAGACAGGUGCUGCAUGGCUGUCGUCAGCUCGUGUUGUGAAAUGUUGGGUUAAGUCCCGCAACGAGCGCAACCCUUAUCCUUUGUUGCCAGCGGUUAGGCCGGGAACUCAAAGGAGACUGCCAGUGAUAAACUGGAGGAAGGUGGGGAUGACGUCAAGUCAUCAUGGCCCUUACGACCAGGGCUACACACGUGCUACAAUGGCGCAUACAAAGAGAAGCGACCUCGCGAGAGCAAGCGGACCUCAUAAAGUGCGUCGUAGUCCGGAUUGGAGUCUGCAACUCGACUCCAUGAAGUCGGAAUCGCUAGUAAUCGUGGAUCAGAAUGCCACGGUGAAUACGUUCCCGGGCCUUGUACACACCGCCCGUCACACCAUGGGAGUGGGUUGCAAAAGAAGUAGGUAGCUUAACCUUCGGGAGGGCGCUUACCACUUUGUGAUUCAUGACUGGGGUGAAGUCGUAACAAGGUAACCGUAGGGGAACCUGCGGUUGGAUCACCUCCUUA
rnacentral:rRNA from 2 species